rnacentral:rRNA from 1 species
GACGUAGGUGGCGAACGUUAUCCGGAAUUAUUGGGCGUAAAGGGUGCGUAGAUGGCAUAACAAGUUAUUAGUGGGAAAUCGGGGCUCAACCUCGUGGAAGCUAUUAAUACUGUUUUGCUUGAGUACAGGAGAGGUUAACGGAACUCUUUGUGUAGGGGUAAAAUGCGUAGAGAUCCGGAGGAACACCAGUGGCGAAAGCGGCCACCUGGACUGUACCUGACGCUGAAACGCGAAAGCUAGGGGAGCGAACGGG